ACUACAACAACAGAGCCCGCCGAGCUCGGUAACGCGGGCUUGUGACCCAAGUGGGGGCACUAAGGUGUUGGGAUAUUGUGCUGGUUCAGAUGGUGGGACUUGAUGGUAUUAAAUACUGGCCCACCCUAUCCAAGCCGAGAGUUAGGCCUUGAGGUUUGAGCGAAAGCUUGGGUCUCAUGGCUCUUAGAGAGGAGGGCAAUGCGUCAGGCUGGUUCCACAGAGCAGCGAGAACUUCCCGCUCUCGGCAGUGGAAGGAUAAUGGGCCGGUGCACUUCAAGUCCAUCAUUACCUGAAGGGCCUGCUCGACUUAGACCAACACCCUUUUUUGUAUUUUUUUUCCUUGCAGUCUCUGCAACCUAAUUACUGUAGAAGGAUUACAAUAUUUGUAAUUUCAAAGUAAAAAUGUCUUAGAGAUAAUGGAUCUUGAUUAUAUAUGUUAGUUCAGA
rnacentral:lncRNA from 1 species